UGUCCUGAGAAAAACAACAACGUCUUUAAUUAUUGUUUUUGUGGAUUUUCAUCUGGCGUAGGCUCAGAGACUCCUAUGAUUCAACUGGGGUCUGAGGAAAGCUGAUGUCCAUAGGGUAUUCAUCCGUUCUGCUGGAAAGCCUGUUUUCCCCAACUGUAAAAAAACCCCACUCUGCCACAGCCUUUGAUAGCUCGGAAUAGAUCGUGCUUGAUGGAGAUACUGACCAUAUUCAACUGAAUCACUGAACAGUCAUGGAUGAUAUUGAGUUUCAGAAUCUGAUUUCACAUAUUCCAUUUUGAUUGCUGCUGUGCCUGGGAAGAACCACAGAAGAGUACCUCUUCCGAAAGACAGG